rnacentral:rRNA from 1 species
CAAUAGCGUAUAUUAAAGUUGUUGCAGUUAAAAAGCUCGUAGUUGAAUUUUUGCUUGCCGCCGAUGUCGGAACUUCCGUACGUUCGGCGGCGUGCAUCCUUGGGUGGAACCUGUGUGGCAUUAGGUUGUCGUGCAGGGGAUGCUCAUCGUUUACUGUGAAAAAAUUAGAGUGUUCAAAGCAGGCUUACGCCGUUGAAUAUAUUAGCAUGGAAUAAUAAGAUAGGACCUUGGUACUAUUUUGUUGGUUUGCGCACCGAGGUAAUGAUUAACAGGGACAGUUGGGGGUAUCCGUAUUCCAUUGUCAGAGGUGAAAUUCUUGGAUUUCUGGAAGACGAACUACUGCGAAAGCAUUUACCAAGGAUGUUUUCAUUAA